rnacentral:rRNA from 1 species
GACGAACGCUGGCGGCGUGCUUAACACAUGCAAGUCGAACGGAAAGGCCCUGCUUUUGUGGGGUGCUCGAGUGGCGAACGGGUGAGUAACACGUGAGUAACCUGCCCUUGACUUUGGGGUAACUUCAGGAAACUGGGGCUAAUACCGGGUAGGAGCCCCUGCUGCAUGGUGGGGGUUGGAAAGUUUCGGCGGUUGGGGAUGGACUCGCGGCUUAUCAGCUUGUUGGUGGGGUAGUGGCUUACCAAGGCUUUGACGGGUAGCCGGCCUGAGAGGGUGACCGGCCACAUUGGGACUGAGAUACGGCCCAGACUCCUACGGGAGGCAGCAGUGGGGAAUAUUGCACAAUGGGCGGAAGCCUGAUGCAGCAACGCCGCGUGCGGGAUGACGGCCUUCGGGUUGUAAACCGCUUUCGCCUGUGACGAAGCGUGAGUGACGGUAAUGGGUAAAGAAGCACCGGCUAACUACG